GUGAGAGGCCGAUGGCGGCGGGUGCUGGUGUGGAAGAUGAGGCUGAAUGAGAGCCGGACAAGAUCCUUCCAGGCUGCUGUCACGGUCCACAAAUACCCGGGCAGGCAGGUCUAUGUGUUUCCCGAUGGCCCAUCCGACUCUGAGGAGUCCUCGGAGGAGGAGGAGCUCAACGUCAUGGAAUUGCGGCCCAGGGGGAAAGAGCAGCAGCGGGGCAGCACUUCCCGGGACAGGCCUGGAGCUGUGGUGCUUCUGGAGCGGGAGCUCACGGAGGGUGACAGCCUCAACAAGCUGGCCCUGCAGUACGGCUGUAAAGUCGCCGACAUCAAACGGGUCAACAACUUCAUCCGGGAGCAGGACCUGUACGCGCUGAAGUCCAUCAAGAUCCCGGUGAAGGCACACGGGCUGCUCACGGAGAGCAGGCGGGAGCUGCGGCCGCUCCCUCCGGCCCAGCCCGGGCUGACCCGCGUGGAGCUGCCCGAGCCCGACCCCGGCACGGGGGGACCCUCCAACGGCCAAAACCUCAGCGACUACUUCAGGGACAUCGACCAGAGCAUCCAGGACGCCGUGCAGGUGGAGGUGCAGCUGAACACAGAGUACUGUGGGGAGCCCCUGGAGAGGCCUCUGCCCGAGCCGGGGAAGCGGGACACCGGGAACGGUGCGGACUGCGGGAUCCAGUGGUGGAACGCCGUGUUCAUCAUGCUCCUGAUAGGAAUUGUGCUGCCAGUAUUUUAUAUCAUCUAUUUUAAAACACAAGGCCUGGUGGCCCACACCUCCAACACAACAGUAACCUCAAAUGUUUCAACAGCUGGAUUGGAAGGGAAAUUACCACAAAGCUCAGUGGUAGGAAAAAAGUCCUAAGGGGAAACGGGAGACCCCUCCAGUCUCUCCAGCAGUGGUGCCCACACUCUCGUGACUGACCCAAGUGCAUCUAAGGGGAUAUAAUGAUACAGAUAAUUUUUAUUUUUAUAAGUAGCUGAUGAUGGAAUCCUGAACUUGACUGAAAGUGAGGUGAUGUGAUUGUGAUGGAAAAAUAAGGAUGAUUUGUUGCUUAUGAAGGUCACUGAGCAGACCAUGGUGGUUUUGGCUUAACCCUAAACUGAUGGCUCUAAGCUGGGUGUGCCAGCCCCUCAUCAUCCUCCUCCUGAGCAAACCUUUGAGCUGGGUUUAUUAGGUUGAUGUCAAGCCCCUCCCCUGGAUGAGCCCAGACCUCUCCCCUCCAUGAAAUCCUUCAGAGAUGGGAUCUCGGUGCUGUCCCCAGGGUGCAGCCAGAGCCAGCCCUGCCACUGCAGGUGGGCAGAGGGUGUUGGAGGAGGAUGUGAGAGCAGGGAGAGGAGUUGCACACUCCUCUCAAGGGCUCUUUUGUUGGCAGGGGGGUAUAGUCAGUAUGACUUGUUAAAAAUACUAAUAAUAGUCUAUAAUGGUGCAUCUCAGACACCCGAUGUCAGUCACAGACUUGAUUUCCCUGUGUGCAGAUUUCAUGGGAGCAAAGUGCUGAGUCCCAUGCAGGGUGCAAGGUCCAGGGCAGAAGUCCAAGGCACAGAAAGAAGGGUAAAGCCUUUCUAGGACAGGACUGAGCUGAUUGUGAAGCGUUCUGUGACCUGCAGAUGUGCAUUAAAAAGCUGCUGAGGGUGUAGGGAAGAGUGGGGGAGCUUCAGAGGGUAGAGGGCUGUGCUCUUCAGAGACACUGAACACUGCCUGCUGGGAGGAGCAGCAAGGGAGGCUUUGGGAGCUUUGCUGCAGAGCAGAAUUGGCCUCAGAAAUUGGAUUCAUCAAUUCCAGGCCUGCAGGCAGAGGUAAUUCCAGGCCUUCCUGGAACCAAACACUAAGGGAUUUCCACCCCACACAAGCAGAACUGUGUGAUGUUACAAUGACAACCUGUGUUUCCUGCAGCUCUCAAAAAAAGUGCUCAGGAAAGCCUGAGGGAACCUAAUUUUGUAAAUGAGGACUGUAAAGUAUCUUAUACUGAACAAAAACUUGUAUUUUUCUUCUGUGAAGAGCUGUAUCUCUUUGUUCUGGGGGCGGGGGGGAUUUCUUACAUUUUUAAAUAAAGCCACAUGAAAUAAUAAAAGCA